UACAGAGGUCUCAAGCGUUGUUCGGAUUCAUUGGGCGUAAAGGGUGCGUAGGCGGCUCGGUAAGUCGGGUGUGAAAUCUCGGAGCUUAACUCCGAAACUGCAUUCGAUACUGCCGUGCUUGAGGACUGGAGAGGAGACUGGAAUUUACGGUGUAGCGGUGAAAUGCGUAGAUAUUGGGAGGAACACCAGUGGCGAAGGCGGCUCACUGGCCCGGUACUGACGCUGAUGCGCGAAAGCGUGGGGAGCAAACGGG
rnacentral:rRNA from 1 species